UGGACACACGGGGAAUUGAACCCCGGACCUCUCCCAGACUCAUCUACUUAUUCAGUGGAUAGGAAAAUGCUAAGGGAAAAUCAUACCACUAGACCAUGCGCCC